rnacentral:rRNA from 1 species
AAGCUCGUAGUUGAAUUUCGGGAUCAAUUUAUUGGUCGUGCAAUAGUACGUACUGGUAUUAUUGAUUCCUACCUUCUGACGAACCAUGAUGUCAUUAAUUUGGUGUUAUGGGGAAUCAGGACUGUUACUUUGAAAAAAUUAGAGUGUUUAAAGCAGGCUCACGCUUGAAUACAUUAGCAUGGAAUAACGAAAUAGGACGUUUGAUUCUAUUUUGUUGGUUUCUAGGAUCGACGUAAUGAUUAAUAGGGAUAGUUGGG